UGCUGGAGCUCACUCUACAAGUGCCAGGGUUGCACAGUUUAACCCUGACUCUGAUGUAUUUCGUUCCAGGUGUCUCCAAGUUUUUCCACAACGGCUUCUGUUUAAGGAAAGACGCGGUGGCAGCCAGUAUUCAGAAGGUCGAGAAGAUUCUCCAGUGGUUUGAAAAUCAGAAGCAGCUUAACUUUUAUGCAAGCUCUUUACUGUUUGUUUAUGAAGGUUCAUCUCAGCCAGCUACCACAAAAUCAAACGAUAGAACUUUGGCGGGGAGGUUUCUCUCCAAAGGAGCCCUGUCGGACGCGGAUGUACUAGAGUGCAAUAACAACUUCCACCUGUUCAGCUCCCCGGCCAACGGCACGUCAGUGGGCAAAAGCUUAUCUAA
rnacentral:lncRNA from 1 species